rnacentral:rRNA from 1 species
AGCCCUAAGCGGGUGGUAAACUCCAUCUAAGGCUAAAUAUGACCACGAGACCGAUAGCGAACAAGUACCGUGAGGGAAAGUUGAAAAGCACUUUGAAGAGAGAGUUCAAGAGUACGUGAAACCGUUUAGGGGUAAACCUGAGAAACCCGAAAGGUCGAAGGGAGAAAUUCAUUCGCGUUUCGCCGUUGGCGUGAGACGGGGUCGUGUGACGGAGAACGUUCGCGCGUUUUCCGCGCCUUCCGUUUUUCGAUCCGACAGCGAACGCGUGCACUUUUCUCCUGGUAGGACGUCGCGAUCCGUUGGGUGUCGGUCUACGGUUCGCGGUGGAGCCCGGACGUACGGCUUGCCGUCGUUACGUCCGGACCCGCGUGUCCCGGCUGACUCGCUCGACGGUAUGCGAAAGGUUUAAGGCCGCUCUCCUAGAGCGUUCGGCUCGUUGCAAGCGCGUCAGUUGUGUCGGCGAUCGGACCUGGUGCCGGUUCUGACCUCUGGCGACUGUUGGCCACGAAGUUCUCGAACAGACCUUCAGACCGAUCUGCGACGCUAUAGCUUUGGGUACUUUCAG